rnacentral:rRNA from 1 species
UACGGGGGGGGCAAGCGUUGUUCGGAAUUACUGGGCGUAAAGGGCUCGUAGGCGGCCAACUAAGUCAGACGUGAAAUCCCCGGGCUCAACCCGGGAACUGCGUCCGAGACUGGCAGGCUCGAAUCCGGGAGAGGGAUGUGGAAUUCCAGGUGUAGCGGUGAAAUGCGUAGAUAUCUGGAGGAACACCGGUGGCGAAGGCGGCAUCCUGGACCGACAUUGACGCUGAGGCGCGAAAGCCAGGGGAGCAAACGGG